rnacentral:misc_RNA from 1 species
GAUGAAGAACGCAGCGAAAUGCGAUAAGUAGUGUGAAUUGCAGAAUUCAGUGAAUCAUCGAAUCUUUGAACGCACAUUGCGCCCUUUGGUAUUCCAAAGGGCAUGCCUGUUCGAGCGUCAUUUGUACCCUCAAGCUUUGCUUGGUGCUGGGCGUCUUGUCUCUAGCUUUGCUGGAGACUCGCCUUAAAGUAAUUGGCAGCCGGCCUACUGGUUUCGGAGCGCAGCACAAGUCGCACUCUCUAUCAGCAAAGGUCUAGCAUCCAUUAAGCCUUUUUUUUCAACUUUUGACCUCGGAUCAGGUAGGGAUACCCGCUGAACUUAAGCAUAUCAAUAAGCGGAGGA